AACAAUCCAAAUUUUCCCAACCUCUCCUUAUAGCUAACACACUCCAAUGUAGGCAACAUCCUGGUAAAACUCUUUUGCACCUUUGUCUCCUUUGAUAACCACCUUCAAUGUCCACAAUUCAGUCAAUUUACAUGUCAUCUGCAAACUUACUGACCAUACUACCUAAAUUUUCAACUAUUUGACACCGUUUGUGAUACUUUAGUAGUGCUAUGUUGUUCAAAAUUUGCAAAUAGCUUUUGAGACCAGACAAAAGGAUAAGAUUGUAUUCCACAUCUGCCACUGCAGUAGAAGAUGUGCAAGUAAUUCUGAAUAGAUCAAAGGAAGUUCCAUUGUCGUGAAUCAGAGGGCUUGUAAUUACAAUGUAGCUACAGACAAAAGAAUCUUUACAUUUUGCUGUAACAUUAUUUAAAACCAAGUAGCAUCAUGGGGAGGAAAGUUAAUACUAAGUUGUUUGCUUAGGUUUAGCUCCGACUAUAGCAAACUAUCGACUGGUAUGCAUGAGGACAUUCUUUCACAGAAUCACAGAAUUGUUACACUACAGGAGAACAGCUUCAGCCCAUCACUUCUGUACUCACUCUCAGAGCAUUUUAACUUGCUGUCAAUAUUCUUCCUUUUCCACUUAAUGCUGCCCAUUGUUUCUCUUUAAAUAAUCAUCUAAUACUCUCUUGAAUGCCUCAAUUGAACCUGUUUCUACCAAAUCUUCAGGCAGCGCAUUCUAACUCAUAACUAUAUGCUGUGUGAAUUUCUUUUUCUCAGGUCACAUUUGUAUGUUUUGCAAAACACUUUAGAACUGUGCCCUCUGAUUCUCAAUCAGCUUAUGAGUGGGCAUGGUUUCUCCCUAUAUUGCCCUCAUAAUCUUGAAAACAUCUUUCAAAUAUCCUCUGUGCUUACUCCUCUUCAGGAAAAUCAGUCCCAAUUUCUCCAAUCUUUCCUCAUAACUGAAGUCUCUCAUCCUUGGACUAUUCUUGUAAACCUCUUCUGUGCUGUAUCCAAUAUCUUUCCUAUGUCAUCCUUCCUAUUAUGUGGCAUCCAGAAUUGUACACAAGGGGAGAUCUAACCAGUAUCCGAUAGAAACUCAUAUACUCUUGUCCCUUUGUUGAAACUUUGAAAACUGUGUUCUUUGCACUUUUAAUGACUUAUGCACAUAUGUAUAUAUAUAUAUAUAUAUCCAGGUCUGUCUGUUCCUGCAUACUCAAUAAUAGUACUCUCUAUCUUUAUAUGCUGUCUUCCUGUUCUUUGUAUUAAGGUGUAUCACAUCACUUCUCUGUAUUGAACUUCAUCUGCCACUCAUCCACCCACUCCACCAAUAUUACAAUACUCUUUUUUUUAUUCCACACUAUUCUUUUUACCGUCUACAAUUCUCUGAUUUUGUAUUAUGUGUAAACUUUGAAAUUAUCCCCUGUCCAUCAAGAUCUAUAAAAUUUAUACAUAUCAGGAAAGAGUAUAAUUACCAUCCCCUGGGGAACUCUAAACUUCUUCCAGUCUGAAAAAAAUAAACAUUAACCGCCAGUCUCUCUUUCCUGAUGCUCAACCAAUUUUAUAUCUACAUUGCUACUGUCCCUUUUAUUCCAUGGCCUAUAAUUUUCUCAUGGGUCUGUUGUGUGGCAUUAUAUACAGUGCCUUUGAGAAGUCCAUAUCCACUAUAUUAGCAGCCUUCCCCUCAUCAAUACUCUCUCAUACCUCUGAAAACGUUAUUUUGAUACAACUUUUGUCUGAACAAACCCAUGCAGAUUCUUCUGAAUUAAUCUAUAUUUUUUCAUACCCAUAUGUAUCCCAAAUAAUUGUUUCCAAAGGUUUUCCCAGUACUGAAGUUAAAUUGACUGAUCUAUGAUUUCAGGCCCCAUAUUUACAACUUAUUCUGAGCAAGGGCAUAUUGUCUGCAAUUCUCCAAUUCAUCAGUGCCCCACUGAAUUUAGGAAGAGUGAAAGACAAUUGGUCCUUUUGGUCCCUAAUUGGCCCUUUUACCACCCUUGUUUCUAUUUAUAUGCUUACAAAUGAUUUGGUGAUUUCCCUUUUCAUUAGCCGCCAGUAUUGUUUCAAAAUCCUUCUUUGCUUCUCGUAUUUGAUUUUUCAUCUUCCUUCUGACCCUUCUGUGUUCAGCUUGGUUUUCAACUGUAGUUACCACCUGAUUUCUAAUAUAAACAUGCUAUAGUUCUUUAAUUUUUUUAUCUCAUUUAUCACAGAAGGUUCGCUGGAUUUGUUUGUCCUACAUUUCCCUUUUGAGAGGAUGUACUCCCACUGUGCCCAAAUUGUCUUGACUUUGUUGCUUCGGCUGCUGUUUCUCCCAUUAACCUUUGGACAAAUCAGUGGAGCUAAGAGCUCUGGAGCAGAAGCUGCAAUAUCAUAUUUUUAAAUCCAUGUGUAGCACAAUUUCCCCAAACCUGGACUUUAUUCCUACAUUGUAUGCAGGAAUGAAGGAGCUACAAGGAAGUGGGUAACCUUUAUUCAUUGUCAUAAGAUGCUGACAGACUGAUUGAAUCUGAGGGCUGACUUCCCAGCGUCUGAAUGAUAUAAGCAUUGAUGAGAUAUUUUGCAGAAUUGUGAGAGACCAGCAGUAAGAAAAUUCCCAAUAUGGAAUCUUGAUGGUAACAGUUCCCAACAUGAAUGUCAGAGCAUUACUUGGCAACUUAACUCACUGCAUGUUACCACAACCACCUAUCUUGGACACCAGAUAUCAAUGUCAAAGGUUACACUCAAUGGCAGUGACUGCACACUCACCUCAUCUACCAGGACCUCUAGCUUCUUGUUGGCAGCGCAGAGUAACAAUUUUCUUCUGUCCAACUUGUCUGAUCAGUUGACAGGAACUGCAGGGCAAUUCUAAGCUGUUGGCACUUGUGUGCAGCUGGCAUUUAAAGAUGUGCUAGUGUUAUGAAUCCCAGCAGUGACCAGUACAUUUGCCUGUGAUGAGUGGGAGAAUAUAAUGAGCUCCUCAGUAUUUGUUUUUAAAUGUCGGUUUUAAAAUAAAAUGUAUUUUUUUGAAGUGUUACGGAAAUGGGUAAUAAAAAUAUUCAUGAGGCAAA